UAAUUAAGCGGAGGAAAAGAAACUAACUAGGAUUGGCCCAGUAACGGCGAGUGAAGCGCCAUUAGCCCAGGUUGUGAAUCGGCACUUGUUGUUGAAUUGUGGUUUGCAGGCCAGUUUGUCCAGCAGGUGGAUGAAGUCCCCUGGAACGGGGCAGCGUAGAGGGUGAAACUCCCGUCCGUCYACUUGCGUGAGAAUUGGUCAUAGAGUCGAGUUGUUUGGGAUUGCAGCUCUAAUUUGGUGGUAAAUUCCAUCUAAGGCUAAAUACUGGUGAGAGACCGAUAGCGUACAAGUACCGUGAGGGAAAGAUGCAAAGCCGCGCGAGAGCGCUGUCAAAGAGUACCUGAAAUUGCUGAAAUGGAAGCGAAGGAAACCAGUGCUAGCCACCCCGCAUUUCUCCAAUUGCUUGCAACUGGGGCGCUGCGGCUGGCGUUGUCUGUGCAUGCUGCUCACAGUGGAAGAUAAUUGCGCUGUGAUCGGCAAGUAGAGACAAAAUGGUUUUCUUUUUCCCG
rnacentral:rRNA from 1 species